AAUUCAUCGUAUCAAUACCAAAAAUAAAUAAAUAAUCUUAACGAAAUCACGAUUUCGAUUAGAGUUUGAUUUUCUUCCAAACAAACUCAAUCCAAAUACAAAAAAAUGCCACAAAUAAGUGAAAUUUUAAAGUGGAUUGGAGCUCUAUAAUUACCAGUAAGAUCAGCAAGAAGAGCUCUACAGGGACCCUGAGUCAUGUUAUUAGCCACAUCCAG
rnacentral:misc_RNA from 1 species